ACGUGAUAAUGACUGGACAUGUCCCAAGUGUGGCAAUGUCAACUUUUCGUUUAGAACAGUUUGUAACAUGAGGAAGUGCAACACUCCAAAGCCUGGUUCUCAGGUUCCCAAACCGGUGAAGAACACUAAACCAGAUACGCCAGAUGGAAGCUGGAAAUGUGAGAAGUGCAACAACAUAAACUAUCCUUUUCGGACCAAGUGUAACAGACAGAAUUGUGGUGCGGAGAAACCAUCUGAAGCCAAGAAGUCUCCUUCACAAUCAGCUGAUGAGAAUGAUCAGUGAGUACUA
rnacentral:misc_RNA from 1 species